AGACCUACGGGGGGCAGCAGAGAGGAAUAUUGGUCAAUGGGCGAGAGCCUGAACCAGCCAAGUCGCGUGAGGGAGUACUGCCCUAUGGGUUGUAAACCUCUUUUGUCGGGGAGCAAAAGCCGGACGUGUCCGGCUGUGAGAGUACCCGAAGAAAAAGCAUCGGCUAACUCCGUGCCAGCAGCCGCGAUAAUACGGAGGAGGCGAGCGGUAUCCGGAUUUAUUGGGGUUAAAGGGUGCGCAGGCGGAUUUGUAAG
rnacentral:rRNA from 1 species